rnacentral:rRNA from 1 species
CCUGACGCAGCAACGCCGCGUGGAGGAUGACGCAUUUCGGUGUGUAAACUCCUUUUAUAUGUCAAGAAAAUGACGGUAGCAUAUGAAUAAGCACCGGCUAACUCCGUGCCAGCAGCCGCGGUAAUACGGAGGGUGCAAGCGUUACUCGGAAUCACUGGGCGUAAAGGACGCGUAGGCGGGAUGGUGAGUCUGAUGUGAAAUCCUACAGCUUAACUGUAGAACUGCAUUGGAAACUACUAACCUAGAGUAUGGGAGGGGGAGAUGGAAUUAGUGGUGUAGGGGUAAAAUCCGUAGAUAUCACUAGGAAUACCUAAAGCGAAGGCGAUCUCCUGGAACAAUACUGACGCUAAGGCGUGAAAGCGUGGGGAGCAAACGGGAUUAGAUACCCCGGUAGUCCACGCCCUAAACGAUGAACACUAGUCGUCGGGAUGCUUGUCAUCUCGGUGAUGCACUUAACAGAUUAAGUGUUCCGCCUGGGGAGUACGGUCGCAAGAUUAAAACUCAAAGGAAUUGACGG